GAAUGAACGCUGGCGGCGUGCUUAACACAUGCAAGUCGCACGAGAACACCUCAGCUUGCUGGGGUAAGUAAAGUGGCGCACGGGUGAGUAACGCGUGGGUAAUCUGCCCUCGAAUCUGGGAUAACCCCGCGAAAGCGGGGCUAAUACCGGAUGAAAUCCAGUUAGCUUUGGCUAUAUGGAUCAAAGGUGGCCUCUGCAUGCAAGCUACUGUUUGGGGAUGAGCCCGCGUACCAUUAGCUUGUUGGUGGGGUAAAGGCCCACCAAGGCGACGAUGGUUAGCUGGUCUGAGAGGAUGAUCAGCCACACUGGAACUGGAACACGGUCCGGACUCCUACGGGAGGCAGCAGUGAGGAAUUUUGCGCAAUGGGGGUAACCCUGACGCAGCAACGCCGCGUGAGUGAUGAAGGCCUUCGGGUCGUAAAGCUCUGUCAAGUGGGAAGAACCCAUUCCGGCACAACAAGCCGGGGUGCUGACGGUACCACUGAAGGAAGCACCGGCUAACUCCGUGCCAGCAGCCGCGGUAAUACGGAGGGUGCGAGCGUUAUUCGGAAUUACUGGGCGUAAAGGGCGCGUAGGCGGCCGAUUAAGUCAGAUGUGAAAUCCCGGGGCUUACCCCCGGAAGUGCAUUUGAUACUGAACGGCUUGAGUAUGGGAGAGGGAAGUGGAAUUCCUGGUGUAGCGGUGAAAUGCGUAGAUAUCAGGAGGAACACCGGUGGCGAAGGCGACUUCCUGGACCAAUACUGACGCUGAGGCGCGAAGGCGUGGGGAGCAAACACGAUUAGAUACCCUGGUAGUCCACGCAAGUAAACGGUGAUCACUACGUGUAGCGGGUAUUGACCCCUGCUGUGCCGGAGUUAACGCAUUACGUGAUCCGCCUGGGGAGUACGGCCGCCAGGUUAAAACUCCAAGGAAUUGACGGGGGCCCGCACAAAGCGGUGGAGCAUGUGGUUUAAUCCGACGCAACGCGAAGAACCUUACCUGGAUUUGACAUCUCGGGAAUCCCGCGGAAACGCGGGAGUGCCCUUCGGGGAGCCCGAAGACAGGUGCUGCAUGGCUGUCGUCAGCUCGUGUCGUGAGAUGUUGGGUUAAGUCCCGCAACGAGCGCAACCCCUAUCUUCAGUUACCAGCGAGUAAAGUCGGGGACUCUGGAGAUACUGCCCCGGUCAACGGGGAGGAAGGUGGGGAUGACGUCAAGUCCUCAUGGCCUUUAUGUCCAGGGCUACACACGUGCUACAAUGGGCUGUACAGAGGGAAGCGAUCUCGCGAGGGUGAGCCAAUCCCAAAAAGCAGUCCUCAGUUCGGAUUGGAGUCUGCAACUCGACUCCAUGAAGCUGGAAUCGCUAGUAAUCGCGGAUCAGCAUGCCGCGGUGAUACGCUCCCGGGCCUUGUACACACCGCCCGUCACACCAUGAGAGUUGGCUGUACCAGAAGUCGUCGGGCCAACCACGCCUUUGGCGUGGGGGCAGGCGCCUAAG
rnacentral:rRNA from 1 species